CAAAAACAUGUCUUUUUGUUUAUUUAUUUAAGGUCUGACCUGCCCAAUGAGGAAUUGAAUGGCCGCAGUAUUUUAACUGUGCUAAGGUAGCAUAAUCAUUUGUCUUUUAAUUGAGGGCUGGAAUGAAAGGUUGGACGAGAUACUGACUUUCUUUGAUUUAAUUAUAAGAAUUUAAUUUUUUAGUUAAAAAGCUAAAAUUUAUUUGUUGGACGAGAAGACCCUAUAGAUCUUUAUAAUUUUAUACUUUAAUAAUGUAGGGAAUAUUCUUUUUAAAGUAAAGUAAUUAUUUUGUUGGGGUGACUGUAGAAUUUAAUUAACUUCUAUUUAUUAGAAUCAUUUAUUAGUGUUUUAUUGAUCCAUAUAUUUAUGAUUAAAAGAUUAAGUUACCUUAGGGAUAACAGCGUAAUUUUUUCGGAGAGUUCAUAUUGAUGAAAAAGUUUGCGACCUCGAUGUUGGAUUAAAAUAAGUUAUAGAUGCAGGAGUUUAUUUACUAGGUCUGUUCGACCUUUAAAUUUUUACAUGAUCUGAGUUCAGACCGGCGUGAGCCAG
rnacentral:rRNA from 1 species